CUUGACGAUCUAUUGGGUGGAUGUUGACUUCAGCGUGCUGCUGCAGGACUGCAGGAUUCCCUGAGCGCCACACUCUACUCGACUGUAUCGUUUGCUCAGUUCAACCGAGAGCUAAAACCGCGUUCAAGAGACCAACCAUCAACUGGAAGUCUACUCAUGUACAGACAGAGUUGACGGAAAAACCUUUUUCCGGACAAUGGAAAAGGAAGCGCAGUAGAGGCAACAGUGGGACCGCAGUGUUGGUGGGACCUCGAGGAAGAACUGCUUCGAACACAUCCCCCGUGAUGAGGGACCACAAGGAGCAUUAAGACGUUUAAAGAAAUGCUAGAAUGAUCGUGUCUUUUGAGUUCGUCAUUGGGAAAGUAAUUUCAGGUGUUUAACACAUUUAACGUCCUCAUUUAUUACAUUGUAUUCAAG
ensembl:lncRNA